CUUGGCUUUGCCCAGUAUGGUGUGGGGUUUGUUAAUUCUGUAUGUUCAACAAAUACCAUCUCCAAGCAAGAAAGGAGUUUCAGCAUGCUCUUCAAGUUAGGUUGCUGGAGGGAUGCCCUGAGUAAAGGACCUCCAGAUCUGCUCUGGACAGCACUUGGAAGAAUCUGCAGUUUCCCAUGUGCUGAUGUAACCUCAUGUCAUCUGCCACCCACUCGGCUGCCCUGCUGAGAUUUGUUCCAUUGCCUCCAAUUCUGUGUUUUAUCAGCUCUUUAAGCUGAAACUAAAAAACCCACACAUAAAGUAGUUAUUUUCGGAAGGGGAGACUGAUGGCUCUCUUUGUACAGAAACAUCUUACUUUCUCCUCAGCUCAUUUUAUAAAUUACUGCCUGCUCCAAACUGGACUGUUUAUCACUCUCAUCCUCAGCAGGGCUUUCUCAGCCCGUCGGCAGCUAUGUUUUGCCUUCCCAAUUUGUUUAGCCAAGAUUUAAGAUAGACAGAGACCGCUGCUCUUAUAAAUCCUGAUUUCAUUAGUGAUGAAGUGCCUGGCAAAAAGUCCCUGCGAUGGAUGCUCUGUGCUCCAUCUCCUGUGCAGCCUAACUAGGCCUCACACGGCGCGAUGAGCGCGGGAUGGCCAGAGCCCAGCGAUGCGCGAUAAUAAGAGCUAUGGAGAAAGUGGUCCCUGCGAGGCCUCAUUAUGGCUGUUUCUGGGGCUAAGUUACUGCUUCAGAGGGUGGAAAAGGCAUUUUUAUGGUGACUUCCCCAGAAUAAAAUGCAUCAUUUCUAUCUGGAUCUUUCGUUUCCAUUAUGUUAGUGCGGGUGUAAGACUUGCUAAUUGGUACACAACACAGUUUGUCAUACCUUUUGGAAACACAGCUUAACAUUGAGGCAUAACUGUCUCCAAUUAACUGAUGAAAAAUGACGUCUGUGUAAAUGUGCAGAGUGGAAUUUUCCUCAUCUGUCUGACUGUGGUAUUUCUCCUCGUGGCUUUCUUUCACGGAUGAGCUAAAAUUGAGAGAUGGAAUGAGUUUUAAAAACAAAACAAAUCAAACAGACGCUGUUGUUUGCACUAUGCAGAUAGAUGGGUUAGCGUGGCUCGUAUUCCAGUCGGAGUCUGGAAGUGGGGAAGAUGGAUGUUAUCUAUCCUAUUAACUGAAAAGUAACAUAAAUACUUCACAGAAAAGAGCUCCAACAGGAUGAAAGCAUCUCUUAGUAAAAUGAAACAUGCUUAUGGCCCUUUCUUAAGCUUUUUUCAGAAGUAGGAAUGGUUUUAUAACUGACUUCUUACAAUUUAAGAUUACACACUCUUAAGAGUGUAUGUACAUACAGACCAGGGUCUAUAAAAAAUAAGUUAUAAUGUGGGCAGUUAUGUAAGAUCAAGUAUUUAUUGUCAAUGGCUCUGGCUAACCUUAAGUGUCAUUUGCACAAAUUCUGAGUAGAAUCAGUUGAAUUCAGUGGUCAGAUACUUUUAAUGGCCUUCAAUCAAAGUAUAAAUUCAAACUCUGAAGACAAAGUCUGGCUGCCUGGGAAGAGCCACAAGAGCUGUAGUGCCAAAAACAGGUCUGAAA